AAACCUCUCACCUACUAUUGUGUUUUAAUGCCAAUAGUUUUGGUGGAUUUUGAAUGUUUUCAAAUUAAUUUUUGAAUCAUUUAAAUAUUAUUGUGUGCAGCCAUUAUUUCACUCAUUUUCAAAAUGUUUGGUGAAUGGUUCCCAAGUGCAAUAAAGACUAAAAAUCUCUAUACUCUUGAGUUCCGCAAAAUUCCCGGACAAUUAAUUUUGAAUGUGGGAUCAAUGAAUUAAUAGUUCGUACCUCAAUUUAUUAUACGAUUUAUUUAUUUCACACGAAAUAAAUAAUUCGAAA
rnacentral:misc_RNA from 1 species